AACGAACGCUGGCGGCAGGCCUACACCUUCCAGGUGAACGAGCAUUUUGGUGCUAGCGGCGGACGGGUGAGUUACGCGGGGGGACGUGCCCUUUUUCGCGGGAUUGGUCCGGGGAAAUGGGGGUUAUUCCGCAAUCGCCCCUUUGGGGAAAGAUUUAUCGGAGAAGGAUCGGCCCGCGUUGGAUUAGGUAGUUGGUGGGGUAAUGGCCCACCAAGCCGACGAUCCAUAGCUGGUUUGAGAGGAUGAUCAGCCACACUGGGACUGAGACACGGCCCAGACUCCUACGGGAGGCAGCAGUGGGGAAUCUUAGACAAUGGGGGCAACCCUGAUCUAGCCAUGCCGCGUGAGUGAUGAAGGCCUUAGGGUUGUAAAGCUCUUUCAGCUGGGAAGAUAAUGACGGUACCAGCAGAAGAAGCCCCGGCUAACUCCGUG
rnacentral:rRNA from 1 species